rnacentral:lncRNA from 1 species
CCCACAUAUUCUAAUCUUAAAGUAUUUGAAUGCUUGGCUUUUGCUACAACUCUAGUUCAUAUCAGGCACAAAUUCGAUCCUAGGGCUCAUGGGUAUGCUUUUCUUGGAUACCCGUUUGGCAUCAAAGGGUAUAAACUCAUUGACGUAGAAACAAACAAAAUCUUCAUCUCUCGAAAUGUCCUCUUAUAUGAAAAUCUUUUUCUUAUAAGGAAGUUUCUGCCACUAUAUAUAUUCCCCUCAAAGAUAUUUCUUAUCAUAUCUUUGAGGUUGCAGAGUUUAAAAACACAUAUGUUAAUGAAAAUUCAUCGAUUCCUUUAUCUUCUCCCAACCUUACACCAGUAACCACGAAUCAGAUUCAUCCAUCUAAGAACACCCCUCACAUUCAUCUAUCCAAGAACCUCGUCAUCUCUAACCAAUACUUUACCAGCCAUAGAACCUCAUCAUGCAUCACCACUUCCUGCUUUGCGUAGGUCCAACAGAGUUAAGAAGUUACCUUCUCAUUUGCAGGAUUUUGUUUGUCAACAUGCCAGCUCAACUUCCCAUUUCCAGGAAUUGACCAAGCA